rnacentral:rRNA from 1 species
CAGUAGCCGCGGUAAUACGAAGGUCCCGAGCGUUGUUCGGAAUCACUGGGCGUAAAGGGAGCGUAGGCGGCGUGGUAAGUCAGAUGUGAAAUCCCGGGGCUCAACCCCGGAACUGCAUCCGAUACUGCCAUGCUAGAGGAUUGGAGAGGUAGCUGGAAUUCUUGGUGUAGCAGUGAAAUGCGUGGAGAUCAAGAGGAACACUCGUGGCGAAAGCGAGCUACUGGACAAUAACUGACGCUGAGGCUCGAAGGCCAGGGUAGCAAACAGGAUUAGAUACCCGAGUAGUCCCUGUCUCUUAUAA